rnacentral:rRNA from 1 species
UACAGAGGGUGCGAGCGUUAAUCGGAAUUACUGGGCGUAAAGCGCACGUAGGCGGCUUGGUAUGUCGGGUGUGAAAUCCCCGGGCUCAACCUGGGAACUGCAUCCGAAACUGCCUUGCUAGAGUAUGGGAGGAGGGAAGUGGAAUUUCCGGUGUAGCGGUGAAAUGCGUAGAUAUCGGAAGGAACAUCAGUGGCGAAGGCGGCCAACUGGUCCGGUACUGACGCUGAGGUGCGAAAGCGUGGGGAGCAAACA